rnacentral:rRNA from 1 species
AAGCUCGUAGUUGAAUUUCCGGAUCAAUGGAUCGGUCAUGCCGUUGGUAUGUACUGGUCACAUUGGUUCUCACCUUCUAAGGAACCAUGAUGUCAUUCAUUUGAUGUUGUGGGGAAUUAGGACUGUUACCUUGAAAAAAUUAGAGUGUUUAAAGCAGGCUAACGCUUGAAUACAUUAGCAUGGAAUAAUGAAAUAGGACAUCGCAUUCUAUUUUGUUGGUUUCUAGGAUCGAUGUAAUGAUUAAUAGGGAUAGUUGGGGGCAUUAGUAUUCAAUUGUCAGAGGUGAAAUUCUUGGAUUUAUUGAAGACUAACUACUGCGAAAGCAUUUGCCAAGGAUGUUUUCAUUAAUCAAGAACGAAAGUUGGGGGAUCGAAGACGAUCAGAUACCGUCGUAGUCUUAACCAUAAACUAUGCCGACUAGGGAUCGGAUGAUGUUGAUUUUUUAAUGACUCAUUCGGCACCUUACGGGAAACCAAAGUGUUUGGGUUCCGGGGGGAGUAUGGUCGCAAGGCUGAAACUUAAAGGAAUUGACGGAAGGGCACCACCAGGGGUGGAGCCUGCGGCUUAAUUUGACUCAACACGGGGAAA